AAGAGAACUUGCCCUUCGGGGUAGAUCUCCCACCCUUUGUUUAUAUUACCUUUGUUGCUUUGGCAGGCCCGUCUUCGGACCACCGGCGUCAGCUGGUCCGUGCCUGCCAGAGGACCCCAACUCUUAUUUUAAUGUCGUCUGAGUACUAUAUAAUAGUUA
rnacentral:misc_RNA from 1 species